rnacentral:rRNA from 1 species
AUGCAACUCCUAGACGGGUUUGGAGAGGCGACGGGACUGCGCAGCAACCCCCAAAAAUCGUCAGCGACAGCCCUCAACUGCGGUAGUAUAGACCUCAUAGAUGUCCUUCAAAAUUUCGGCGGCACUACAGUAGGCUUCCCGAUCAGAUACCUAGGUCUUCCGCUCUGCAUCGGCAGGCUCCGGCUCGUGCACAUCCAGUAUCUUCUCGAUCGCAUCCGCGCACGGCUCGCGGCUUGGAAAGGCCGUCUCCUACCGAUCGCGGGUCGUCGCGUGCUGGUCCGGUGCGUCUUGUCCGCGUUGCCCGCCUUCGCCAUGUCGGCCCUGCGCAUUCCGAAAAGAUUCUACAAGGACGUUGACAAGGCACGUCGGCGGUUCCUGUGGGCGCACGAUGAAGAGGCCAUCGGCGGUAGAUGCAAAGUAAACUGGCGGCUAGUCACGUCCCCGGUCGACCACGACGGUCUCGGCAUCCCCAACAUGGAGCGGUUCGCGCGUGCACUGCGUCUCCGAUGGCUAUGGCUGGCAUGGACAGACCCGGCCAGGCCAUCGGCAGGCAUGGGGACGCCUUGUGACGACAAGGAUAGAGCACUCUUCGCCUCGAUGACGACGGUGACGGUGGGGAACGACAACAGAGCCCUCUCUGGCACUGCUCCUGGCUCGGCGAGCAACCGCUAUGGCAAGUCUACCCAGCCCUGUUCAGGCGCUCAACCAGGAAGAACCGCACGGUGGCUGAUGCAAUACGCGAAGACAGAUGGAUCAUGGACCUCAGGCACGACAACAACUUGGAGAUCAUCCCCCAGGCCGUGUGGUUGCAGCGCCGCAUCAGAGACGCAAACCUGGUGUUGCGGGAAGGAAUUGAAGACGAGAUCGCAUGGAAAGCCGGAGGCCACUACACAAUGA